rnacentral:lncRNA from 1 species
UUCACCGCUUCAUUCUUGAAACCCUAGAUUCACAUCUUUGCUACUACAGAUCAUAUCGCCUCUUCUUUUUAUUUUUUCUGACGAAUCCAUCUUUCCCUCGGAUCAUCUAUGUUCGAUCAUAUUUUUUUCACAAACCCUAACACAAAACGAUUCGCCGUCUCCAUCGAUUGAACCUUAUCACUUCCUAAACCUUCAUCGCCAAGAAAACCGGUGAUGAUGAGUUUGAUGCAAAAGUGUUAUGACAUAAGUUGACUAGAAGCGAUAAUUACAACCGGAAAGUGUUCAGGCCUAAGGAGGAUACUCUUGAGCUCAUGAAUCAGGAGUAUACUAAGAAUCAUUAUCAAUAUGUAUGUUUACAGCGGCGAUUCUUUCUUUUCUAAAACCCUAGAUAUGAAACCCGUUUUCUUUCUGAUCUACUCAUCUUCGAUCCAGAAGAUUCGAGCUUCAAUCUUCUGAGCCGAUCAGCCCUAAUAAGUCACAGAACAUAGAUCGAGUGCCAGACUAAAUUGAUGGCUGCCCAAGAAGUUGUGUCUCUUUCACAAACCCUACCUCACAAUAGCCAUGUUUUUAAUCGAGGUUUUGGUGGUGGUGUCGGCUAUAGUAGAGGCGAGGAAUACUAUGAGCGAUGAUGGUAGAGUUAAAGACCCUAGAUGAAAUUCGGAGAUAGUAGAGACGAAGGCUUGAGGAACUAAGGUUCCGGGGGAUCUUUGGCGAGAUUUUCGGCUGCCCAAGAAGGAAGUUAUGAUGCUGUUAUAGUUGAAUCUUCAGAUCCGAAAGGUAUACCCUUAUAAACGUUUAAUUUUCAAGCAUUUACCUAACAAAGCUCUAAGGCGCCAGACACAAGUUCUGGUCUUUGAAAGAGGGCAUGGGUUCAAAUCCACUUCUAACAUUAUUGUUUUUUACAUUUUUAUUCAGUAAUAACUUAUCACUGCUAUGAUUCUUAAAAAUAAUUUUAAGCUAUAAUGUGUUUUGUAGGAAAUAGCAUCACACUAACAACCAAAGAUUCUUGCAUAUGAGUUCUCCUAAAUAUGUGCUAGAUUUCAUAACUGUAUCAUCUUACUUCAAAUAUACUUAUCUGAGUUGCGGUUUCACAAGAUGAGUUUGAAUUAUCUUAUUCAUAAGUUAGAUAAGAAGCUUUU